UGGAAUUAGCCCUAUCUCACAAUGGUGAAGAAUCCCUUAAAAAAUUCCUGGAUCUGGACAAUGAUAUGGAUCAGCACUAAAAUCCAGUGGGUUGUUCCAUGGGCUAUACCCUGCCUCUUAAAAAAAUCAAAAUCAAAAUCCAAUGAUUACUUUUUGAGUUAUGCUGUGAAAAAACCAACAAAUGCCCAUAAAAACACACAGCUUUUGUCUUUUUACAGAGCUUCACUUCUGAUUCCCUUAUUUUUUCAGGCAUGUACAGCUAUACCAUGAACUAACAGUACUGUUUUGCCAUUCAAGUCAAGACAGGGUCACUGACAGCCCUGCAACACUGUGAGUGUCUGAAACGUUCAUCCUCCUUCACGUCUAUCUAGACUGUUUUGUACUCCUAGAUUAGGUAAUCUAAGAAGAUUUCCUUGUUGGGAUCAAAGGGACUAGCAGCUGUUUCAGAUGAGUGGACCAGACUGACCCCAUGCCAAAGCGCAGAAUCCUGGAUUAAACUGAGCACAUGGCACGAGAGUGAACAACCUUUGUCAAAGGAGGCACAGAGGCAGCUGAAGACAUCAGCUGUGCCUGGAGCAUACCAGGCUGCUUCACCCCACCCUGCCCGGCACCACGCAGCUGCUGGCUGAGCCCUCCACUCGUAUCAUUGAUCUGGACCAGGGUCAUGUGUCACCUGACAUCAGUUAAAGAGGGGUGACAGGGACAACUGGCUGGGAUGGGUGCAGCUGUGUGGGGUAACAGAGAGGAGGAUUCCUGUGCAGAGGGAUGGAGGUUUAUGGAGCAUGUCUGUAGUUUAGACUGCAUACAGUAAUUUAAGGUGGGCACAGACAACAUUCAGCAGAUCAGUGUGAAAAAAGCCUUCUGGUGCCAAACAUUCAUCUUUCUGCACAGUGAAGCUCAAGCAUUUAAAAAGCCUGUAAGACCUGCUUGGCCACUUCCAGUUCCUGUGUCUUCCCACGCAGCACCUCAUUCUCCCACUCCAACUGGGAAUUCUUCUUCUGCACCACUUCCAGCUCAUUGAACAGCCGGAGGGACACGCUCUUUGCAACCUCUGGAAGUGGUUCAGUCAAAAGCCAGCGAAAAAGCUUUGAAUGUUUGCUGGUGCUCCCCGUCCACCUGUCCCGUCUGAGCCACACGGAUGCUGUGGCGCUCGGCCUUGCGGAGGCGGUACUGCAGGAUGCGACAUGUCUUGU